UACGAGGGGAGCAAGCGUUGUUCGGAUUUACUGGGCGUAAAGGGCGCGUAGGCGGUCGUGACAAGUCACUUGUGAAAUCUCCGGGCUUAACUCGGAACGGUCAAGUGAUACUGUCGGACUAGAGUACAGAAGGGGCAACUGGAAUUCUCGGUGUAGCGGUGAAAUGCGUAGAGAUCGGGAAGAACAUCGGUGGCGAAAGCGCUCUACUGGACGGUGACUGACACUCAGGGACGAAAGCUAGGGGAGCGAAUGGG
rnacentral:rRNA from 1 species